ACGAACGCUGGCGGCAUGCCUAACACAUGCAAGUCGAACGAGACCUUCGGGUCUAGUGGCGCACGGGUGCGUAACGCGUGGGAACCUGCCCUUAGGUUCGGAAUAACUCCCCGAAAGGGGUGCUAAUACCGGAUAAUGUCUUCGGACCAAAGAUUUAUCGCCUUUGGAUGGGCCCGCGUUGGAUUAGCUAGUUGGUAGGGUAAAAGCCUACCAAGGCGACGAUCCAUAGCUGGUCUGAGAGGAUGAUCAGCCACACUGGGACUGAGACACGGCCCAGACUCCUACGGGAGGCAGCAGUGGGGAAUAUUGGACAAUGGGCGAAAGCCUGAUCCAGCAAUGCCGCGUGAGUGAUGAAGGCCUUAGGGUUGUAAAGCUCUUUUACCCGGGAUGAUAAUGACAGUACCGGGUGAAUAAGCUCCGGCUAACUCCGUG
rnacentral:rRNA from 1 species